rnacentral:rRNA from 1 species
AGCGAACGCUGGCGGCAGGCCUAACACAUGCAAGUCGAACGAACCUUUCGGGGUUAGUGGCGGACGGGUGAGUAACACGUGGGAACGUGCCUUUAGGUUCGGAAUAACUCAGGGAAACUUGUGCUAAUACCGAAUGUGCCCUUCGGGGGAAAGAUUUAUCGCCUUUAGAGCGGCCCGCGUCUGAUUAGCUAGUUGGUUGAGGUAAUGGCUCACCAAGGCGACGAUCAGUAGCUGGUCUGAGAGGAUGAUCAGCCACAUUGGGACUGAGACACGGCCCAAACUCCUACGGGAGGCAGCAGUGGGGAAUCUUGCGCAAUGGGCGAAAGCCUGACGCAGCCAUGCCGCGUGAAUGAUGAAGGUCUUAGGAUUGUAAAAUUCUUUCACCGGGGACGAUAAUGACGGUACCCGGAGAAGAAGCCACGGCUAACUUCGUG